UUAAUGUAACAGCUCUUUUGUCUACAGUGACGUUAAAAUGCGAUUUGUCGUUAAGUCCAAAGCACAUCAUUUCACUUAUGAUAAAAAAAAAAACGUCACAACAUUCAUAUGUCUUCUUCAUCUCAUUCCAAAAUCUCCAAAUCAAAAAUUUCAGGGUUUUUGUAAGUUAUCUCCAAUCUUCUUCUUUUUCGUUCAGUGUAAAGAGAUUAAAAUCACAAUGGAAUUAGGUCGCAGAAUAUCCAGGAAGUGCCAUUGUGAAUCAUUGGUCGCUGAAAAACAAUCUAUGGUAGAGAAAGAAUUGAUGGAGCUAGAGCAAGACUUUCUUGACAUGAAGAAAGACAUAAGUGAGAUUAUUGGUGUUUUAGAGAGUUUUAGAGCUAAGUUUUAGAAGUAUUGUUGGUUUAUUUUGGUCAAAUUGUUUUUGUUAGUUGUUGGUGGUGUUAGAUUCAUACUUUAUUGGUGUCAUUGGUGUCACAUUGUUGCGUAAUUGGAAUCAUUUGUUUUCAUU